UGUGAGCUCGAUGAGUAGGGCGGGACACGUGGUAUCCUGUCUGAAUAUGGGGGGACCAUCCUCCAAGGCUAAAUACUCCUGACUGACCGAUAGUGAACCAGUACCGUGAGGGAAAGGCGAAAAGAACCCCGGCGAGGGGAGUGAAAAAGAACCUGAAACCGUGUACGUACAAGCAGUGGGAGCACGCUUAGGCGUGUGACUGCGUACCUUUUGUAUAAUGGGUCAGCGACUUAUAUUCUGUAGCAAGGUUAACCGAAUAGGGGAGCCGAAGGGAAACCGAGUCUUAACUGGGCGUUAAGUUGCAGGGUAUAGACCCGAAACCCGGUGAUCUAGCCAUGGGCAGGUUGAAGGUUGGGUAACACUAACUGGAGGACCGAACCGACUAAUGUUGAAAAAUUAGCGGAUGACUUGUGGCUGGGGGUGAAAGGCCAAUCAAACCGGGAGAUAGCUGGUUCUCCCCGAAAGCUAUUUAGGUAGCGCCUCGUGAAUUCAUCUCCGGGGGUAGAGCACUGUUUCGGCAAGGGGGUCAUCCCGACUUACCAACCCGAUGCAAACUGCGAAUACCGGAGAAUGUUAUCACGGGAGACACACGGCGGGUGCUAACGUCCGUCGUGAAGAGGGAAACAACCCAGACCGCCAGCUAAGGUCCCAAAGUCAUGGUUAAGUGGGAAACGAUGUGGGAAGGCCCAGACAGCCAGGAUGUUGGCUUAGAAGCAGCCAUCAUUUAAAGAAAGCGUAAUAGCUCACUGGUCGAGUCGGCCUGCGCGGAAGAUGUAACGGGGCUAAACCAUGCACCGAAGCUGCGGCAGCGACGCUUAUGCGUUGUUGGGUAGGGGAGCGUUCUGUAAGCCUGUGAAGGUGUGCUGUGAGGCAUGCUGGAGGUAUCAGAAGUGCGAAUGCUGACAUAAGUAACGAUAAAGCGGGUGAAAAGCCCGCUCGCCGGAAGACCAAGGGUUCCUGUCCAACGUUAAUCGGGGCAGGGUGAGUCGACCCCUAAGGCGAGGCCGAAAGGCGUAGUCGAUGGGAAACAGGUUAAUAUUCCUGUACUUGGUGUUACUGCGAAGGGGGGACGGAGAAGGCUAUGUUGGCCGGGCGACGGUUGUCCCGGUUUAAGCGUGUAGGCUGGUUUUCCAGGCAAAUCCGGAAAAUCAAGGCUGAGGCGUGAUGACGAGGCACUACGGUGCUGAAGCAACAAAUGCCCUGCUUCCAGGAAAAGCCUCUAAGCAUCAGGUAACAUCAAAUCGUACCCCAAACCGACACAGGUGGUCAGGUAGAGAAUACCAAGGCGCUUGAGAGAACUCGGGUGAAGGAACUAGGCAAAAUGGUGCCGUAACUUCGGGAGAAGGCACGCUGAUACGUAGGUGAAGUCCCUCGCGGAUGGAGCUGAAAUCAGUCGAAGAUACCAGCUGGCUGCAACUGUUUAUUAAAAACACAGCACUGUGCAAACACGAAAGUGGACGUAUACGGUGUGACGCCUGCCCGGUGCCGGAAGGUUAAUUGAUGGGGUCAGCGCAAGCGAAGCUCUUGAUCGAAGCCCCGGUAAACGGCGGCCGUAACUAUAACGGUCCUAAGGUAGCGAAAUUCCUUGUCGGGUAAGUUCCGACCUGCACGAAUGGCGUAAUGAUGGCCAGGCUGUCUCCACCCGAGACUCAGUGAAAUUGAACUCGCUGUGAAGAUGCAGUGUACCCGCGGCAAGACGGAAAGACCCCGUGAACCUUUACUAUAGCUUGACACUGAACAUUGAGCCUUGAUGUGUAGGAUAGGUGGGAGGCUUUGAAGUGUGGACGCCAGUCUGCAUGGAGCCGACCUUGAAAUACCACCCUUUAAUGUUUGAUGUUCUAACGUUGACCCGUGAUCCGGGUUGCGGACAGUGUCUGGUGGGUAGUUUGACUGGGGCGGUCUCCUCCUAAAGAGUAACGGAGGAGCACGAAGGUUGGCUAAUCCUGGUCGGACAUCAGGAGGUUAGUGCAAUGGCAUAAGCCAGCUUGACUGCGAGCGUGACGGCGCGAGCAGGUGCGAAAGCAGGUCAUAGUGAUCCGGUGGUUCUGAAUGGAAGGGCCAUCGCUCAACGGAUAAAAGGUACUCCGGGGAUAACAGGCUGAUACCGCCCAAGAGUUCAUAUCGACGGCGGUGUUUGGCACCUCGAUGUCGGCUCAUCACAUCCUGGGGCUGAAGUAGGUCCCAAGGGUAUGGCUGUUCGCCAUUUAAAGUGGUACGCGAGCUGGGUUUAGAACGUCGUGAGACAGUUCGGUCCCUAUCUGCCGUGGGCGCUGGAGAACUGAGGGGGGCUGCUCCUAGUACGAGAGGACCGGAGUGGACGCAUCACUGGUGUUCGGGUUGUCAUGCCAAUGGCACUGCCCGGUAGCUAAAUGCGGAAGAGAUAAGUGCUGAAAGCAUCUAAGCACGAAACUUGCCCCGAGAUGAGUUCUCCCUGACUCCUUGAGAGUCCUGAAGGAACGUUGAAGACGACGACGUUGAUAGGCCGGGUGUGUAAGCGCAGCGAUGCGUUGAGCUAACCGGUACUAAUGAACCGUGAGGCUUAACCUUACAACGCCGAAG
rnacentral:rRNA from 1 species